CAUUAAGCACUCCGCCUGGGGAGUACGACCGCAAGGUUGAAACUCAAAGGAAUUGACGGGGGCCCGCACAAGCGGUGGAGCAUGUGGUUUAAUUCGAAGCAACGCGAAGAACCUUACCAGGUCUUGACAUCCUUUGACCACUCUGGAGACAGAGCUUUCCCUUCGGGGACAAAGUGACAGGUGGUGCAUGGUUGUCGUCAGCUCGUGUCGUGAGAUGUUGGGUUAAGUCCCGCAACGAGCGCAACCCUUGAUUUUAGUUGCCAGCAUUUAGUUGGGCACUCUAAAGUGACUGCCGGUGCAAGCCGGAGGAAGGUGGGGAUGACGUCAAAUCAUCAUGCCCCUUAUGACCUGGGCUACACACGUGCUACAAUGGAUAGUACAAAGGGUCGCGAAGCCGCGAGGUGGAGCUAAUCCCAUAAAACUAUUCUCAGUUCGGAUUGUAGGCUGCAACUCGCCUACAUGAAGCCGGAAUCGCUAGUAAUCGUGGAUCAGCAUGCCACGGUGAAUACGUUCCCGGGCCUUGUACACACCGCCCGUCACACCACGAGAGUUUGUAACACCCGAAGUCGGUAGGGUAACCUUUAUGGAGCCAGCCGCCGAAGGUGGGACAGAUAAUUGGGGUGAAGUCGUAACAAGGUAGCCGUAUCGGAAGGUGCGGCUGGAUCACCUCCUUUCUAAGGAA
rnacentral:rRNA from 1 species